UACGUAGGGUCCGAGCGUUGUCCGGAAUUACUGGGCGUAAAGAGCUCGUAGGUGGUUUGUCGCGUUGUUCGUGAAAACUCACAGCUUAACUGUGGGCGUGCGGGCGAUACGGGCAGACUAGAGUACUGCAGGGGAGACUGGAAUUCCUGGUGUAGCGGUGGAAGUGCGCAGAUAUCAGGAGGAACACCGGUGGCGAAGGCGGGUCUCUGGGCAGUAACUGACGCUGAGGAGCGAAAGCGUGGGGAGCGAACAGG
rnacentral:rRNA from 1 species